AGGCAUCAUGGAGGUUUGGUCUGCAGAGAGCCAAUAAUUAUUGUUAUUAACAUGAACUCUACACAUGAUGUGCAACAUGCUUUGACCAAUGAAUGGUUAAUAUUGUAACAUUUCUAAUCCAGGCUCAGAAGAUCUAAAGUAAACCCAACUGAAAAGACACAGUCCAGACAUCCAGCGACACCUAAAACACAUCCAGUUAUUAUUCUUGGAGCCAUGCUGGGAGAGAACAGUCAAAUCACAAUGAGACAGCAGUUUCUAUUUGGUUUAACUCUAUGUGGCAGUAAGCUAAACUGUUUUCAUCAUGAUUUCAUCUAGAAAAGCAGUAAAAAGGUGAAUCAAAGGAGGCUGAACACCUUCUAGAGUCAAUGAAAUCCUCUAGAUGAUCUGUUCUUCAACCAGAAGAAGCUGAGAGCCUGCUCACCAGGAGGAAGAGGAGCUGAGAUGUUCAGGGAGGAGCUGAGAUGUUACUGAACUCUAGAAGAUACUCAAACUUCCUCAUUCAACACAGUUCAACACACAAACAUUAACUCUGCUCAACAUGCUGUCUUUGCUCACAUCUGGAUUUAUUCUGCUGGUUCUGCUCAUUAGAACAGAUGUAAACUGUCAACAACUCACUGCACUGAAGACUGAGGAGUCCAGUUUAGAGGGCGGUUCUGUUACUCUGUCCUGCAAUUACACCAAAGGUUCUGCUUAUUAUUUGUUCUGGUAUCGAAAAAAUCCAGGAAAACCUCCAGAGUUCCUGAAGUCUCACUCACCUUCAGGAGGAGCAGAACAUCUGGACAGACUAAAAUUUGAAGGAAACCAAGAGGAGAUGAAGAUGACCAUCUCCUCUGCUGCAGUGACAGAUUCUGCUGUGUACUACUGUGCUGUGAGGCCCACAGUGACAGGAAACACCAGAACUCUGUACAAGAACCUGUUAUACUCCACAUCAUCCACUAGAGGGCCUCAUGAAUCAGGCUGCAGGAUGAUGAGGUGCAGCUGCUGGAACCAAACUUUAUUCUACUUAAAGCCAGUGGUGGAAAUGAUGUCUUGUUCUGGUAUAAACAAGAAGAAAAAAGCUUCCCAAAGUACAUGCUGA